rnacentral:rRNA from 1 species
CAGUCGCCGCGGGAAUACGUAGGGUGCGAGCGUUAAUCGGAAUUACUGGGCGUAAAGCGUGCGCAGGCGGUUUUGUAAGACAGAGGUGAAAUCCCCGGGCUCAACCUGGGAACUGCCUUUGUGACUGCAAGGCUAGAGUACGGCAGAGGGGGAUGGAAUUCCGCGUGUAGCAGUGAAAUGCGUAGAUAUGCGGAGGAACACCGAUGGCGAAGGCAAUCCCCUGGGCCUGUACUGACGCUCAUGCACGAAAGCGUGGGGAGCAAACAGGAUUAGAUACCCGUGUAGUCCCUGUCUCUUAUAA